rnacentral:lncRNA from 1 species
CGGGUGAGGAGGCAGGAAAUGGCGGCGGUGCUGCAGCAGCAGCUGCCGGGCCCUCCCGCUCCGCAGUGCCGGGCCCAGGCCGCCUAGAGCCGCCGCGCCAGCGCCGGGCCCGGGCCGCAGCCACGCCGGGCCGGACUCCGAGCACUUUACAUACAUGAGAGAAUUGGAAGCUAAAGCUACCAAAGAAGUUGAAAGAAAACUAAGCAGGGCUUUCCUGCCUCAUUUAUGUGGAACUGAGAGAAGUCUUACAACAAACCCAUCGUGCAGUAUACUUUUUGACUCUGCAUGAAUAAAAUUGCAGCACUUUGGGAAACGGCUGGCCUUACGGUUAAGGUGCUGAACUUGGACAGCCAGCAUUCAAGUUUGUGCAUCUGCUACAGCUAUCCUGUAUGACCGUUUCGAUUGUGGAGAAGCAGUUUAUUUUCUUCAGUUCCUCAUUUGUUUAAUGGAGAUAGUGAUUGUUUAUUGCUGCUAUUAAAGCCUUGUGUAUUUAGAUGAUAAACUUCUUCGGGAAAGAGAUUUGUCUUCUAUAUCUUUGUGUAGCAGUGAACAUGGACUGUAAUCUCACUUGAAACCUCAGGGUGAAACUGCAACACAAAUAUUGUCCCAGAACUAUGGCAUACUUAUACUGCUUGGAGGGUGGUUCUGUCUAGCCAGCUUCUGUAUGAGGAAAAAUGGGAAAGAUGAUUGCAUUCCAAAUGGUGGUGGUAGAGAUGGUAGUUAAACUUUUAUCUUCCUAAGGUGAUAAUUUAAAGACUAAAGUAUUUAAAAGGAAAAAAGAAAGUUGUUGGCAUUCUUUUGCUAAUUAAUUAUGCAUUUAAGUAGGGCUUCAGUCUUCAGCUUGGCAGCACCUCUUCUGCACAUUAAUAGCUGAAAAGAAUUAACAUACAUACAACAUCUGUAAAUAAGUGUUUUCAUUUUCUUAUCAGGGCCUGAGGCUUUCUUUGCUCCUGUAUAAUGUGCUGAGUGGUUUUAGUUUUCAGAGAAUGUUUCCAUUAAAGGCACUGGUGUCUUUUUUUUUAAACUUUAAAGUACUGGUUUCUAUUCUGUAAACCUGAAGAGUGUUCUUUUUGUUGUAGUGGACCUUUUUGUGGGAAACAUUGAAAGGAAUGGAAGGAUCUGUUUUUAACUGAAACAGGUGUUUUGGUUUGUUAAUAACAAGGGUUUAAUAGAAAAGGUAACAACUGCUUUUCAGAAAUUGAGAAUUUUUAUUGGCAGUUUUUUGAAACUGCAUUAUUUCAGAUUUUAAGAUUGGKUAUCUUAUAGGUCAGAAUACAGAAAAAUUAUCA